GACCGCGGAACAAGCGCGCUGGAGCCAACCCGAGGGCGGUGCUGGGGUCACAUGAUCCCCGCCCAAGCUGGUCAACAUGGCGGCUCCCGUGAGUGGCGGCGGCCGCCUUUGUCGGCUGGCCUGGCGCCGCCGGGCAGGAGCUUUGCACAGCGGGGCGCAGCCCGCGGCGCUCGGCCGGGAGCCGGGGAAGGUUGCGGCGGCGCAGAGCGGUGUUGCUCCCUGGAGAGCAGUGGUGGGUCUGGAAGUUCAUGCACAGAUCAGUUCCAACUCCAAGAUUUUCUCUGGCUCCCAAGUGCAGUUUACAGCACCCCCUAACUCUUUGGUAUCUUUUUUUGAUGCUUCUCUACCAGGAACCUUACCAGUUCUCAACAGGAGAUGUGUAGAAGCAGCCGUGAUGACAGGCCUGGCACUCAGCUGCAGCAUAAACAAGAAGUCCUUGUUUGACAGGAAACAUUAUUUCUAUGCAGAUCUGCCUGCUGGCUACCAAAUUACUCAACAAAGACUUCCUAUUGCUGUGAAUGGGAAUCUGUCAUACACCCUCUGUGUAGGGGCAAAACAAAGUCAGAUGGUAACAAAGAAUGUGAGGAUCAAGCAGAUUCAGUUGGAACAAGACAGUGGGAAGAGCCUUCACAACGAUGCAAGGAGCCAGACUUUCAUUGACUUGAACAGGGCUGGAGUUGGCCUCAUGGAAGUUGUCAUGGAGCCUGAUAUGUGCUGUGGGGAAGAGGCAGCUGCAGCAGUCAGAGAGCUUCAGCUUAUUCUUCAAACACUUGGGAGCAGCCAGGCAAUCAUGGCAGAGGGUCAACUAAGAGUAGAUGCCAAUGUAUCUGUGCAUCAUCCAGGAGAGUCUUAUGGAGUGAGGACUGAAGUGAAGAAUAUCAAUAGUUUACGAUUCCUGGCAAGAGCAGUAGACUACGAAAUACAGAGACAAAUUGAAGAGCUUGAAAAUGGAGGAACAAUUCUGAAUGAAACAAGAGCCUUUGAUUAUAAACUUGGGUGCACGAUACCAAUGAGAGACAAAGAAGGAAAACAGGAUUAUCGGUUCAUGCCAGAGCCAAACCUUCCUCCAUUGAUUUUGUAUGAUGCUAAAUCUUUGCCUGCUAAUAUAGACGAUCAGCAAGUGGUAAAUAUCGAUUGGAUUCAAGAGAGGCUUCCUGACCUCCCCAGUGUGAAGAGAGUGAGGCUUGUUGAACAGUAUGGAAUUCUGCCUGAACACAGUUUCACCUUAUUGAAUGAAGAUGGAUUAAUGGAGCUCUUUGAAGAUGUGGUGAGAGAAACCCAGAUGAAUCCAAAGAAAGUGAUUGGAUGGGUUAUAAGUGAGCUGCUUGGUCAUUUAAAACAAUACGACCUUACAGUCAAGGAGAGUCCAGUCAAUUCUCUCUCUUUGGCUGACCUUCUGAAUCUCCUAGAGAGAGGAGUCAUUUCUUCUUCAGCAGCCAAACAGGUGCUUGAGGAAUUAUGGAAGGGGGAGGGGAAGACCCCACUUCAGAUUGUCAAGGAAAAACGACUAGAAUUAAUACAGAAUCAGAGAGAGCUUGACCAGAUCUGUCAAGCAGUCAUGGAAGGACAUCAGGAAGAGGUUAUGGAGAUAAAGGCAGGAAACAAAAAAGUUCUGAAUAAACUGAUAGGCCUGGUUCAAAGAGCAACACAAAGGCGAGCUGAUCCCAUUCUGGUGAAGCAAAUAUUGGAGAAGAAGCUGUCACAGUAACCUUUAAGAAAACCUGCACAGAUGCCUACAGCCAAAGAAGACUUUACAGUGUUGGCUUGAUUCUCUACAGCUCCAUUCUAAGCCACAGCUUGCACAACUGCCUGAAGCUUCCUCAUGCAACAGGACAUGUUUUCCCCCUUUUUAUAACUCAGCUGUGAUCUCAGGCUGCUUGAGGGAGAAGACAGAACAGCACGACUGCAUUUGCCCUUGUCAUCUGCACCUUCCCUGCAAUGCUGUUUUGGAACACUUCAGACAAAGUUCAUUAUGUUCUACCUCACAUAAUAGUGAUAGAAAACCAGAUUACAGCAGCAAGUGGGUCAUGAUUUCUCUCUUCAAAUAUAGCAGGAGCUAACUUGGAUCUGGUUGGCUAUAAGGUGCAAGUGCCUCAGAAAGCUAAGAGCUUCAGGAGGAUAACUGUAUUAUUAAAUGUAGUUAAAUGUUAUAAGUUGGACAAUAAAAUACCAAGUCCUCAGCUCCA